GAAAAACACAGUGUCUGGCAGCUUUUCGGAUACAGGAUCAAAAUUGUGUGAAACUCUUGCUAUGCCCGCACCUCACCCAGGAGCUCAGGCUCAUUUAGGAAACAAGGCCCGAUUGAAGGAGGCAGGUUCGGGUUUUGUUUUAUUUUCUUUUGUUGAGUUAUCAUUUCUUGAGAGCUUCCUGUAUGCACAGCACAACAUUAAGCUCUCUGACAACAACAAUAAUAGCUAGCUCUCAACCCAGCACUUAGCGCCAGGUCCUGUUCAAGGUGUUUUCUGUGUAUUUGCUCAUUGACUCUCCCAAGAGUCCUAAGAAAUAGGUACCAUUAUUCUCAUCUCACUUUACAGAUGAUAAAACUGAGGCACAGAAAAGGAACUUGCCCCAAAACCCACGGCAAGACAGAUCUGAACCCAGGGGGUCUGGCUCCAGGCCCAUGUGCCUAUAGGACCCCUCAAGCUCUGUUAUUUCAUUGGAACCUACACUUACCUCCAAAGUAUGUAGUCUUGUUUUCUCCGUUCUACAGGUGAUAACACUGAGGUUGAACAACUUGCCCAAGGUCACCUCAUGCUUUACACACCUGUCACUGUGAGACAGAAAGCAGAGCCUCCAGUAGACCUUUUUCAAACUUUCUGUGUGGUUUGCACGUUCGUCCACUGUACCGAGGUAGCAUUUCUUCUCAUUAUGACUCCUGGGGCUGUCCGCCUGCCUCCGGUUCCCAAAACCCUGUGGGUGUGGAAGCUGUGAGAUGCAGAAACUGAGGCCCGGGACCACACACCUGACACCAAGUGGACUAGGAUUCAGGCCGUUGACCAUAUUCUUUCAACUUCAGGAGCAACAGCACCUGGAGGACCCAAAUUUGCUGUCAUCCUCCACGAGGCCUCAGCAGUCUCCAACAUGGAAGGGCACUGAGCCAGCCUGGGGGUUUCCAGGGACCUUCCUGACUGAACACUGGAAAGACCCUUUCAUUCCAUCCUGUCCCCCAGGUGGGACCCCACGCCCUGAGGUGGAACAGAGGUGAAGAGGAAGGGGAGCGGCUCCUGUGCAUUUUAAUAGAAAUGAAUUCAAGUUCUCUCCUGAAGGACUCAGUUCCUUGGGCCCAAACUUCUCCAGUCUCUCAUGAAAGGAGAUGAACUGCUUCAGAUAAAGUGCUAAUCUUCAGCCUCAAAGUCCUCAGAAGGGCCUUCUCCACGCUGCUGGGCUGUGAAAGGCUGAAGGAGGUGGAGCUGGGGAGGAAGAUGAAGAUCUAGAGGUCUGAGAGAGCUUCAACUGAGUAGAGAGCAGCCUGGGUUCCAAAGUCCUGGCCCCAGCUCUGUGUAGCCAUGUGACUUUAGUUCAGGCCCUUGACUUCUCUAAGCUUCUGUGUGCACAGCUAUCAAAUGGGAGUAAUAGCAGUAUUGACCUCGUGGGUGGUUAUGAGGCUUUACUGAGAUGGUACAAUGUCAAGGGCUUAGCACAUUGCCUGGCACGUAACACUCAGUAAAUGCCACCCUGACUGCGUUUAAUUUGGGAAGCUAGACCCUUACCUACCCAAGGGCUGUGAUGGUAGCAAGCCCACCUGCAGCCAUCCUCAGAGGGUAGGUGGAGAGUGAAGCCAAGCCCCAGAGCCACGGACUCCAGAAUGAAGGUAUGGACUCCGUGCCUGGACCUGUUACUUGAUUAGGGUUUCUGACCCCAGCUUCUUCCCCAUUUGCCCUGUCACACCAUCCCAUAAUGUCCUGUUGCCCCCCUCUUGACCCUUCCUCCCACCCCAAUUCCAUUUAUCACAGUCCACUUGUGGUGUCAGGGCAGAGACGCCCAAGGCACUGAACUCAUCUUGCCACUGUUGGUCGCCCUCUGUGCGUUACAACAAUGUGGGACUUGGGGAUUCUAAACCACCACCCUCACCAAUUCUCUCAAUCCCCAUGACCAUCUCCAUGCCUCCAAGACUCUCUGUGCCAGCCCGGAGGGGAAGCUGUCCGCAAGGUCUCUGGCUCCUUAGUGCAGAGCAGGGUCUACACUAGGUGCAGAGCUCUCUGGUCAGCGCAGCAGUGGGCCUGCCACCCAGACACACAGAGGUGGCUCAGCAACAGUCAGAGGCCCUCAGACAACAUCGGGAACAGAAGUGGCUGUAUGAGCUUCUAAAAAGCCCCAUCUGGAAGCUGGAGAAGCUGGGCCCAUUUCCUAACUCAGAGGAGGCCACAGUCCCUGGGGCAGGAACUGGCCCCUCCUAUUCUUCCCUUGCCCUCCAGAGUGGGGUUGCCUGGGACCAGGUCCUCAGAAACUGUGAUGGGAGGAGGGCACCUUUACAACAGCAGGUGGAGCACCUGUAAGUCCUAAGUUCCCUUCCCCAAAGACCAAGAAAGAGUUUGGAGAAGACUGGAGCCAGCCUUGCCUUCUCCUCUCCUGAAGGAAUGGAUACAUGAAUGAAUGAAUGCCUCUACUUUACUCUUUUAUUUUUAGAGUUAAGGUAGAGAAAGAAUAAAAUAGCUGUGGAUGUACAAACACCAUUUAGAACACAGUUAAACAAGCCCAGAAGCUUAGUUGAAUACAAGUGUCAAUAGGCAACCACAUUUUGCAUUUGCUGCCCAGCAGCUAAACCAGAACUGGGCCCUGCAGUGCAGUAGUUUGGCCAACUGUUUAAUGAAUGAAUGACAUGACAUGACCACACAUUUCAGAUAACGGGGAAAACGGGGAGGAAGCUUUGGGGGGUGUGUCUCCGCACCCACAUAGAGUUGAAGUCACUUGUACUUGGUAUAACUUGACAGCUCGGUGAGCUUUAGAAUCAAGCACCCACAGAUGGGGAAAUCUCAUUUUCUAAAUGAAAUUAACAAAGUAGGAGGGGCAGAUCAGGGUGUUUCAAUUCAUACCCCAGCCUGCUCUCCUAGCAAUCUGGUAACUAGACCAGAGCUUCUGCUAAGUAAGUUAAUCAAACAACACCUGCUGGGGCGGUGCUGCCCACAGACUUGCCCACCAUUCUAAGACCCUGUACACACACACACACACACACACACACACACACACACACACACACACUGUCAUCCUGUUCUGGGCUAUUCUAUGUGUUUGAUGCUUGAGCCAAAGAUAGAAUUUGUGUGGACUGUUUUCCCUGAACACUUAACUUUUGCCUGACCAGGUACCCAAGAACUCUUCCCGAGAGCCCAACCCAGGCCUUGAGCAGCCACAUUGCCACAGGCCCUCUGGCUUUAUUGCUGUGUUGUUGACUCAGCUGGGGAUUUCUGGUGGCUUUGAGAUUCUCUCUCCAUCUGGACUCAGUCUCUGAGGCUCCAGACUCCUUCCUAGUCCCUAUUUCCUCCUGUCUUGUCCCCCUUGGACUCACCUGGGCAAUGGGCUUCUCCAGUCUGAAAGGGUCAGGCCCUGUUAGGCUGGGGCCACUGCCCUGGGCAGCAUCUGGAGUGAAAGGCAAGCUGAGCUGCUGUCAGGCCCUGAGAAACAGGUAUUUUUAUUCCGGGGAGUGGCCCCUUUUCGGGACUCAGACCCUGGGAAUUCAGGUGCCCCACUCAGCUCUAGCUAAAGUUGGGCUCCCAGGACCCUCACCAGGCUAAGAGUGAAUGCGCUUGGGUUUCUUAGCUCCCCUGCCCCCCCCACCAUUCCCCAUAGUGGGUUCCUUUUGUCUUCACUAAAUCCCCUCCAAUCUCCCCUUCCAAAAGGCAGCAGAUCCAAGUGGAAUUCAACACCCAAACACUCACACAAAGGCAAGGAUUAAUAGCUGGCUUUGUCUGGGCACAGAUGUGCAGCAGCUUGGCGGGGGGGUGGGGAGGGGGCAUUUUUUUCUUGCCACUUGAGUCAGCUGGGUUCUGGCUCCGCACUUGAGGGUGGGGAGGGGAGGAAGCUGGGGAGGAACUGCUGCAUGGAUUCCCCUCGAGGGCACCACACCCGACUUCUCUGAGCUGGUAUGUUCUUGGGAGUCUGGUCCCCACGAAGGAGAGACUUCCUCUACAAAGUUCUUCUCUGGCUGGGAGGCCUGUCAGCCUCUCUUCCUUUGACUUCAACAAGUCACACUCACAAGCUGGUGCGCAGUCUCUGGACUCAGUUCCUGUUCUUCCAGAGCCUGAGCUCUAAAACAGGCCCCAGACAUUCUCAAAGAAACCCUGAGAGCUGAGCGGACUAACUGGGACACUGACAGGAGGCACACGGGGGCAUACUGCAGGAGGAUGGGGAAUGUUCCUGGAGGAGCUGGGGCUUAAUCUGAGCUCCAAAGGAUGGACAGAGGGGAAAGAAGGGGACUUCUUUGCAGCGACUCCAGGAGGGGUCAGUGGGGCAGGAGAGAGCAGGGCCUUGAAGGUAUGGGAAGGGGAAUGAAUAUUUCCUGUGGCAAUAGGGAGCCACUGAAGUUGUAGAUCAGAGUCAGAGCUGGAGAAGCACCAUGGGUGUAAGGAAGCCUGUUCUGUUAUUGGGCAUAGAACAGGCUGGAGGAGGUGGUAGCCAAGGAAACAAAUGGGUGUCUCUGGGCCAGAGCUCAUUCUCACUCAGCCCCUCUGCAUCCAACAGAAUCCCUUAUUUGAACAAUCCAUGCUACUAUUCAACCACACAAUCACGGAAUUACAAAUUUGGUCCUCAAUAUUUAGGGACAGAAAUAUCAUGUUUCCCUAUUGUUCUAUGUCAGGUAAAUUAGGCUUCAUUCCUAAACACAGAGCUCAUUGGAAAUAUGACAUCAGUCAAGUUUGGGGUGAAGGGGUGCUUCCCCUUCCCUAGGGUGGGACAAGUAUCUGGGGUCUCCAGACCAGCUGGUCUCUGAGGGGCUUGUUGAUCAAGACAAGACCCCUGGUAUCAGGAGGUUUAUAUGCUAGAGGAGGAAAAACAGUAAGAAACAAGGAAGCAAAUGAAUAAAUGGGAUAGCUUUAGAUCAAGUUUGUCCAACCUGUGGCCUGCAGGCCACGUGCAGCCCAGGACAGCUUUGAAUGCAGCCCAGCACAAAUCUGUAAACUUUCUUAAAACAUUAUGAGAUUUUUUUUUUCCUGAGACAGAGUCUUGCUCUGUCACCCAGGCUGGAGUGGAGUGGCAUGGUCUCGGCUCACUGCAGCCUCCGCCUCCCAGGUUCAAGUUAUUGUCCUGCCUCAGCUUCCUGAGUAGUUGGGAUUACAGGCAUGUGCCACCACACCCAGUUAAUUUUUUGUAUUUUUAGUAGAGACGGGGUUUCACCAUGUUGGCGAGGCUGGUCUCGAACUCCUGACCUCAGGCGAUCUGCCCACCUUGGCCUCCCAAAUUGCUGUAAUUAUAGGCAUGAGCCACCAUGCCUGGCCAAACAUUAUGAGUUUUUUUAGCAGUUUUUUUUUCCUUUUUUUUUUUUUUUUUAGCUCAUCAGUUAUCAUUAGUAUUAGUGUAUUUUAUGUGUGGCCCAAGACAAUUCUCCUUCUUCCCAUGUGGCCCAGGGAAGCCAAAAGAUUAGACACCCUUGCUUUAGAUAGUGACAAAUGCUGGAGAAGAACAGACUGAUAUGUCUGGCUGGGAUGAGUGGUCAGAGAAGGCUACUCUGAGGAGAGAGCAUUUCAGCUGAGAACUGGAGGAUGAGAAGGAGUGAGACAUAGUAGAAUCUCAUCUAGUCUAGAUAUUUAACCCUUUUUGGUCUAAAAACAGUAAUUUCAGAGAGCUCAACGUAAUACAGAGAUAGAGGUGCUGAGCAUAUUUAAUGCAAAGGAAUGGAGGCAGGACUGAGAUUGGAGUGGCAGUCUCAGCUCAGAAAAGGUGGUGCAAUGACAGGGCACUGAGUGAGGGACACAUAGGAAAAAGUGAGCUCAGAGGGCAGGUCUGGCUAGAGAAGGAGUUGAGAGUCUAAGUUCAGUGGGAAAAAUAAAUUUCGAGGGUCAGAUUGUGAACUGAUUCAUGUUUGGAAUGUUAAAAUGUUGAAUGUUUUACAAUUUGAAAUUAAAGACAAUACCAUUUACAUUAGCACCUCAAAAUAAGAAAUACUCUAGUAUAAAUCUAACAAAACAUGUACAAAAUCUAUAUGAGUAAAACAAUAAAAUGCUGGUAAAAUAAAUCAAAGAUCUAAAUAAAUAGAGAGAUAUUCCAUGUUCGUGGAUGGUGAGACUCAAUAUUGUUCAGAUAUCGGUUCUUUCCAGCUUGAUCUAUAGAUUCAAUAUAAUCAUAAUCAACUCCCAGUUGUCUCUUUUGUGGAACUGGCAAAGCAAUUCUUAAGUUUAUGUAGAGAGGCAAAAGACUAGAACAGUUAACACAAUAUUGAAGGAGAAAACAAAGUCAGAGGGCUGACGCUACCCCAUUUCAAGAUGUACUGUAAAAGCUGUUGUGAUCACCUGCAGUCCCAGUUACUUGGUGAGAGGAUUGCUUGUGCCCAGUAGGUCGAGGUUGCAGUGAGUUAUGACUGCACCACUGUGCUCUAGCCUGGGCCACAGAGUGAGACUCCACCCCUAAAAAAAAAUUCAAAAUAGAUUCUAGAUCUAAAUAUAAAAGCAAAACUAUAAAAAUUCUAGAAGAUAACACAGAAGAAAAUCUAGGUGACCUUGGAUUUGGUGAUGACAUUUUAAAUACAACACCAAAAGUAUGAUACAUAAAAGAAAAAAAUGACAAAUUGAGUUUCAUUAAAAUUAAAAACUUCUCUGCCAAAGACAUUGUUGAGAGAACGAAAAGACGAGCCACAGACUAGGAGAAAAUAUUAGCAGAACACGUAUCUGAUAAAGGACUGCUAUCCAAAGUACACAAAGAACCCUUCGACAAUAAGAAAACAAUUCAAUUAAAAAUGAGCAAAGAUCGGAACAGACAUCUCACCAAAGGCAUACAGAUGGCAAAUAAACACAUGAAAAGAUGCUCAACAUAAUAUGUCAUUAGGGAGUUGCAAAUUAGAAUAACAAUGAGAUACCACUACACACCUAUUAUAAUGGCUAAAGUCCCAAACACUGGCAACACCAAAUGCUGAAGUGGCUGAAGAGCAAUAGAAUUCUCAUUCAUUGCUGGUGGGAAUGCAAAAUGAUACACACACAUUGGAAGGCAGUUUGGGAGUUUCUUGCAAAGCUGAACAUACUCUUACAUAUAAUCCAGCGAUCACCCUCAGGAAUUUACCCAAAUGAACUGAAAACUUAUGUCCCCCCUGCACAUAAAUGUUUAUAGCACCUUUAUUCAAAAAAUUGCAAAAACUUGAACCAAGAUAUCCUUCAGCAGGUAAAGGUUAAAUAAAUAGUGGUUCACCCAGACAAUGAAAUAUUAUUCACGGUUAAAAAACGAUCAAGCUAUCAAGUCAUGAAGGAACCUUAAAUGUGUAAUGCUAAGUGAAAGAAGCCAGUCUGAAAAGGCUAUAUACUAUAUGAUUCCAGUAUAUGACAUUCUGGAAAAGGCAAACUUGUGGAGACAGUGAAAAGAUCAGAGGUUGCCCGGGUUCCUGGGGAGGGGCGAGGGAUGAAUUGUGGGAACACGGGAUAUUUAGAGCAGUGAAACUACUCUGGAUGACACUAUAAUAAUGGUAGCCAUUAUACAUUUGUCAAAACCCACAGCACUCACAACACUAAAAGUGAACUCUGAUAUAAACUAUAAACUUCAGCUAAUAAUAAUAAUACAUGAAGCACUUUGGGAGGCCAAGCCAGGAGGCUAGUUUGAGCCCAGGAGUUCAAGGCCAGCAUGGGCAACAGAGCAAGCCCUCAGCUUUACAAAAAAUAAGAAAAAUUAGCCAGGCGUGGUCAUGAGCACCUGUAGUCCCAGCUAAUCAAGAUGCUGGAGGAUCACUUGAACCUGGGGACGGAGGCUGCAGUGAGCCGUGAUCAUGCCACUGCACUCCAGCCUGGGCAACAGAGUGAGACCUUGUCUCAAAAUAAUAACAACAACAAUAAUAAUAAUGUAUCAGUAUUAGCUCAUCACUUGUAACAAAUGUAACACAUGAAUACAAAAUGUUAAUAACAGAGGAAACUAGGGGCCGGGCAGUGUGGCUCACGCCUGUAAUCCCAGCACUUUGGGAGGCCGAUCCAGGCAGGCGGAUCACAAGGCCAGGAGUUUGAGACCAACCUGGCCAACAUGGUGAAACCCCGUCUCUACUAAAAAUACAAAAAAUUAGCCAGGCACGGUAGUGCACAUCUGUAAUCCCAGCUACUUGGGAGGCUGAGGCAGGAGAAUCACUUGAACCCAGGAGGCGGAGGUCGCAGUGAACAGAGAUAGUGCCAUUGCACUCCAGCCUGGGUGACAGAGCAAGACUCCAUCUCAAAACAAACAAACAAAUGAAAAUAAUCAUAACAGAGGAAACUUGAGGGGUUGGGGGAAGGGGUAUAUGAGAAUUCUGUACUUAAAAAAAAAUUUCUGUAAACCUAAAGAUGCUCUUUCUUAAAAGCCUAUUAAUAAACAUUUAAAAAAUAAUUAAAA
rnacentral:lncRNA from 1 species